GCUAGUAAUCGCGCAUCAGCCACGGCGCGGUGAAUACGUUCCCGGGCCUUGUACACACCGCCCGUCAAGCCAUGGGAGCCGGGGGUACCUGAAGUGCGUAACCGCAAGGAGCGCCCUAGGGUAAAACUGGUGACUGGGGCUAAGUCGUAACAAGGUACC
rnacentral:rRNA from 1 species